rnacentral:rRNA from 1 species
AACCUGCGGAAGGAUCAUUACCGAGUGAGGGCCCUCUGGGUCCAACCUCCCACCCGUGUUUAUUUUACCUUGUUGCUUCGGCGGGCCCGCCUUAACUGGCCGCCGGGGGGCUUACGCCCCCGGGCCCGCGCCCGCCGAAGACACCCUCGAACUCUGUCUGAAGAUUGUAGUCUGAGUGAAAAUAUAAAUUAUUUAAAACUUUCAACAACGGAUCUCUUGGUUCCGGCAUCGAUGAAGAACGCAGCGAAAUGCGAUACGUAAUGUGAAUUGCAAAUUCAGUGAAUCAUCGAGUCUUUGAACGCACAUUGCGCCCCCUGGUAUUCCGGGGGGCAUGCCUGUCCGAGCGUCAUUUCUGCCCUCAAGCACGGCUUGUGUGUUGGGCCCCGUCCUCCGAUCCCGGGGGACGGGCCCGAAAGGCAGCGGCGGCACCGCGUCCGGUCCUCGAGCGUAUGGGGCUUUGUCACCCGCUCUGUAGGCCCGGCCGGCGCUUGCCGAUCAACCCAAAUUUUUAUCCAGGUUGACCUCGGAUCAGGUAGGGAUACCCGCUGAACUUAAGCAUAUCAA